AACGAACGCUGGCGGCAGGCUUAACACAUGCAAGUCGAACGGCAGCACGGGUGCUUGCACCUGGUGGCGAGUGGCGAACGGGUGAGUAAUACAUCGGAACGUACCUUAUCGUGGGGGAUAACGCAGCGAAAGCUGUGCUAAUACCGCAUACGCCCUGAGGGGGAAAGCGGGGGAUCGAAAGACCUCGCGCGAUUAGAGCGGCCGAUGCCUGAUUAGCUUGUUGGUGGGGUAAAAGCCCACCAAGGCGACGAUCAGUAGCUGGUCUGAGAGGACGAUCAGCCACACUGGGACUGAGACACGGCCCAGACUCCUACGGGAGGCAGCAGUGGGGAAUUUUGGACAAUGGGGGCAACCCUGAUCCAGCAAUGCCGCGUGAGUGAAGAAGGCCCUCGGGUUGUAAAGCUCUUUUGUCAGGGAAGAAACACCGGCUCUAACACAGUCCGGGAAUGACGGUACCUGAAGAAUAAGCACCGGCUAACUACGUGCCAGCCGCCGCGGUAA
rnacentral:rRNA from 1 species